AUGAACGCUGGCGGCGUGCCUAAUACAUGCAAGUCGAGCGAACAGACGAGGAGCUUGCUCCUUUGACGUUAGCGGCGGACGGGUGAGUAACACGUGGAUAACCUACCUAUAAGACUGGGAUAACUUCGGGAAACCGGAGCUAAUACCGGAUAACAUGUUGAACCGCAUGGUUCAACAGUGAAAGACGGUUUUGCUGUCACUUAUAGAUGGAUCCGCGCCGCAUUAGCUAGUUGGUAAGGUAACGGCUUACCAAGGCAACGAUGCGUAGCCGACCUGAGAGGGUGAUCGGCCACACUGGAACUGAGACACGGUCCAGACUCCUACGGGAGGCAGCAGUAGGGAAUCUUCCGCAAUGGGCGAAAGCCUGACGGAGCAACGCCGCGUGAGUGAAGAAGGUCUUCGGAUCGUAAAACUCUGUUAUUAGGGAAGAACAAACGUGUAAGUAACUAUGCACGUCUUGACGGUACCUAAUCAGAAAGCCACGGCUAACUACGUG
rnacentral:rRNA from 1 species